CGCAGCCGCGGUAAUUCCAGCUCCAAUAGCGUAUAUUAAAGUUGUUGCAGUUAAAAAGCUCGUAGUUGAAUUUCGGGGUUAGUAGGUUGGUCAUGCCUCUGGUAUGUACUGGUCUCACUGAUUCCUCCUUCCUGAUGAGCCGUAAUGCCAUUAAUUUGGUGUUGCGGGGAAUUUGGACUGUUACUUUGAAAAAAUUUAGAGUGUUUAAAGCAAGCUAACGCUUGAAUACAUUAGCAUGGAAUAAUGAAAUAGGACGUUUGAUUCUAUUUUGUUGGUUUCUAGGAUCGACGUAAUGAUUAAUAGGGAUAGUUGGGGGCAUUAGUAUUCAAUUGUCAGAGGUGAAAUUCUUGGAUUUAUUGAAGACUAACUACUGCGAAAGCAUUUGCCAAGGAUGUUUUCAUUAAUCAAGAACGAAAGUUAGGGGAUCGAAGACGAUCAGAUACCGUCGUAGUCUUAACCAUAAACUAUGCCGACUAGGGAUCGGAUGAUGUUAAUUUUUUAAUGACUCAUUCGGCGCCUU
rnacentral:rRNA from 1 species